UUGAGCACAUCCACAUCGGCGACUGGAAUUGCAAUAGCCUCUGGAGAAAACAACAGCGAGGGAUGCAACAUGAUUGAAAGACUUCCCUGAAUUCUGUUAACCUGUAAAUUUGGAAGGCAAGUGGAUUAAUUUAUUUUAAAAAAAAGGUUUCAAAGGCAAGACAAAAUGAUGUUCAGAGUGGUGCUGUUAUGUCUAGCUGCUCUGGACAUGAGUAUGAGAGCCUCUACUCAAACCUCAUCAAGCGCAACUGACGCUGCGUCGACCACCGAGGCUGUGACCACUACUGCAGCGGCACAGAAAAGCACACAGGCUCCCAGCACAACCGUACUUCCAAGCACCACAGAAAGUACCGUCACGAUAACAGCCUCUGCCAAAAUUGCAACUCUGACCAAGGCUGGGGAUGCAACCACCACCUCAGCUCCUGUGACUACUGCAGUGACUACCCCUUCUGCAGCUCAGACGACUACUGUCUCUCCUACGACGGUGGACUUAAGCACUACCAUCGCAACAGGUCCUGCGGCUCCUUUCACAUCUGUGUCAACAACGACCUCCUCAUCUCCUGCCACGACUGCGGCGCAGACUACAACUGAAGCAUCAGCCACCACCGCAGACUCAAACACCACUGAAGCCCCCACCACAACUGUACCUCCAACCACAACUACACUUCAAACCACAACUGCAGCUCCAACCACAACUACACUUCC